rnacentral:rRNA from 1 species
AAACUUAAAGGAAUUGACGGGGACCCGCACAAGCGGUGGAACAUGUGGUUUAAUUCGACGCAAAGCGAAAAACCUCACCAAGGUUUGACAUACCAAUCGUAUCCCUAAGAAACUAGGGAGUCAGUUCGGUUGGAUUGGAUACAGGUGUUGCAUGGCUGUCGUCAGCUCGUGUCGUGAGAUGUCGGGUUAAGUCCUUUAACGAGCGCAACCCUCAUUGCAUGUUAAUUUUUCAUGCGAGACUGCCCUGGUUAACAGGGAGGAAGGUGGGGAUGACGUCAAGUCAGCAUGGCCCUUACACCUUGGGCUACACACGUGUUACAAUGGCCGGUACAAUAAGUCGCAAUACCGUAAGGUGGAGCUAAUCUAUGAAAACCGGUCCCAGUUCGGAUUGGGGGCUGAAACUCGCCCCCAUGAAGUCGGAAUCGCUAGUAACCGUGAAUCAGCACGUCACGGUGAAUACGUUCCCGGGUCUU